UACGUGGGGUGCAAGCGUUGUUCGGAAUUACUGGGCGUAAAGCGCGUGUAGGCGGCUCGCUAAGUCUGAUGUGAAAUCCCUGAGCUUAACUCAGGAACUGCAUCGGAAACUAGCGGGCUAGAGUUCGGGAGAGGGCGGUGGAAUUCCUGGUGUAGAGGUGAAAUUCGUAGAUAUCAGGAGGAACACCGGUGGCGAAGGCGGCCGCCUGGACUGAUACUGACGCUGAGACGCGAAAGCGUGGGGAGCAAACAGG
rnacentral:rRNA from 1 species